GAUGAACGCUGGCGGCGUGCCUAAUACAUGCAAGUCGAGCGAACAGACGAGGAGCUUACUCCUCUGACGUUAGCGGCGGACGGGUGAGUAACACGUGGAUAACCUACCUAUAAGACUGGGAUAACUUCGGGAAACCGGAGCUAAUACCGGAUAACAUGUUGAACCGCAUGGUUCAACAGUGAAAGACGGUCUUGCUGUCACUUAUAGAUGGAUCCGCGUCGCAUUAGCUAGUUGGUAAGGUAACGGCUUACCAAGGCAACGAUGCGUAGCCGACCUGAGAGGGGGAUCGGCCACACUGGAACUGAGACACGGUCCAGACUCCUACGGGAGGCAGCAGUAGGGAAUCUUCCGCAAUGGGCGAAAGCCUGACGGAGCAACGCCGCGUGAGUGAAGAAGGUCUUCGGAUCGUAAAACUCUGUUAUUAGGGAAGAACAAAUGUGUAAGUAACUAUGCACGUCUUGACGGUACCUAAUCAGAAAGCCACGGCUAACUACGUG
rnacentral:rRNA from 1 species